rnacentral:rRNA from 1 species
CUCAGUGGAUCCCUCGGCUCGUGGGUCGAUGAAGAACGCAGCAUAAUGCGCGUCGUUAUGUGAACUGCAGGACACAUGAACAUCGACAAUUCGAACGCAAAUGGCGGCCCUCGGUGUCUUUUCACCUUGGGCUACACCCGUCUGAGGGUCGGUCAAAAAUUAUAUAACCAGACUGCU